rnacentral:rRNA from 1 species
UGCGCAGGUGGGCUUGUAAGUCAGUGGUGAAAUACUGCCGCUUAACGGUAGAACUGCCAUUGAUACUGCGGGUCUUGAGUAUGGUUGAGGUAGGCGGAAUGUGUUGUGUAGCGGUGAAAUGCAUAGAUAUGACACAGAACGCCGAUUGCGAAGGCAGCUUACUAAGCCAUUACUGACACUGAGGCACGAAAGCGUGCGGAGCGAACAGGAUUAGAUACCCUGGUAGUCC